CAUUAAGUGGCUGAAUUGUAAGUAAUGGUCUCUUAAACCAUAUUAUAGUAUUUAACAUAUACUCUUAAUG
rnacentral:tRNA from 1 species